rnacentral:rRNA from 1 species
GGGCCCGCACAAGCGGUGGAGCAUGUGGUUUAAUUCGAUGCAACGUGAAGAACCUUACCUACUCUUGACAUCCAGAGAAUUUAGCAGAGAUGCUUUAGUGCCUUCGGGAACUCUGAGACAGGUGCUGCAUGGCUGUCGUCAGCUCGUGUUGUGAAAUGUUGGGUUAAGUCCCGCAACGAGCGCAACCCUUAUCCUUUGUUGCCAGCGAUUCGGUCGGGAACUCAAAGGAGACUGCCGGUGAUAAACCGGAGGAAGGUGGGGAUGACGUCAAGUCAUCAUGGCCCUUACGAGUAGGGCUACACACGUGCUACAAUGGCGUAUACAAAGAGAAGCGACCUCGCGAGAGCAAGCGGAACUCAUAAAGUACGUCGUAGUCCGGAUUGGAGUCUGCAACUCGACUCCAUGAAGUCGGAAUCGCUAGUAAUCGUAGAUCAGAAUGCUACGGUGAAUACGUUCCCGGGCCUUGUACACACCGCCCGUCACACCAUGGGAGUGGGUUGCAAAAGAAGUAGGUAGCUUAACCUUCGGGAGGGCGCUUACCACUUUGUGAUUCAUGACUGGGGUGAAGUCGUAACAAGGAGCCGAAG